rnacentral:rRNA from 1 species
GUUCAAGAGUGCACUUCAUUGUGGCUCUAACCUUUUUCAAUACACCUUUCACCCUUUUUGAAACCCAAAGCUGUUAUGUGUGCCUUGCGGUAUAGCAUCUCAGUAGUACGCAUCAUGUGGAUUUUUAUGAUUCACAAGUUGCAUUACCCCCUCUUUUUUUAAAUUUAACACUAUAUAAAAAGUUUUUAGAAUGUAAAACCCCCUUUAAAUUAAUAUAUAACUUUUAACAAUGGAUCUCUUGGCUCUCACAUCGAUGAAGAACACAGUGAAAUGUGAUAAGUAAUGUGAAUUGCAGAAUUCAGUGAAUCAUCGAAUCUUUGAACGCACCUUGCACCUUUUGGCUAUUCCAAAAGGUACACCUGUUUGAGUGUCAUGAAACCCUCUCAUUCCAAUUUUUUAUUAAGUUAAGAAGUUGAAAUGGAUGUUGGGUGUUGCCGUCAUUGGCUCACCUUAAAUAUAUAAGUACUUUUAUUGAAAAAUAAAUGGAUAUACUUGGUGUAAUAUUUAUUAUUCAUUGAGGAGUGUGGUGCUUUAAAAACACUACAGCCAUUUGAACUUUGAUAGAUAGCUUCCAAACCCCAAUAUAUAUAUAAUAUUCUUUUAGACCUCAAAUCAGGUGGGACUACCCGCUGAACUUAAGCAUAUCAAUAAGCGGAGGAAAAGAAACUAACAAGGAUUCCCCUAGUAACGGCGAGUGAAGAGGGAAAAGCC